CCUACGGGAGGCUGCAGUAGGGAAUAUUGCUCAAUGGGGGAAACCCUGAAGCAGCAACGCCGCGUGGAGGAUGAAGGUUUUAGGAUUGUAAACUCCUUUUGUGAGAGAAGAUAAUGACGGUAUCUCACGAAUAAGCACCGGCUAACUCCGUGCCAGCAGCCGCGGUAAUACGGAGGGUGCAAGCGUUACGCGGAAUCACUGGGCGGAAAGAGUGCGCAGGCGGGCUUGUAAGUCAGAUGUGAAAUCCUGUGGCUUAACUACAGAACUGCAUUUGAUACUAUGAGUCUAGAGUGUGGGAGAGGUAGGUAGAAUUCCUGGUGUAGCGGUAAAAUCCGUAGAGAUCAAGAGGAAUACUCAUUGCGAAGGCGACCCCCUGGACCAUGACUGACGCUCAUGUACGAAAGCGUGGGGAGCAAACAGGAUUAGAUACCCCAGUAGUC
rnacentral:rRNA from 1 species